GAUAAAGUUUCAUAUACCCUAUUGGAGAGUAACUUUGUCCUCAACUGUGCUGCGCGUCUCAAUGCGUUGUCGUUUAAUUUAUGUCAAAGACAUGAGUACAUGACCCAGUAUAGCUGUAUGCCUGUAUCAUAUUCCUUGGACAUUUUUAUUCUUACUUAGGGAUAAAGAUUAUAUUUUUAUGAUUUCUUAAAGGAAGUUUGGUUUUGCCGUCGAGGGACUGGGUGGGAAUAGAGAACAGAUUCAUGACCUAGGCUUCGAUUGCUCUGAUGGGAUUUACGAGUAUGUGAUCUGGGUCCAAACUAAAUAGAGUUGCGACAGAACAGGUAAUGAUGGUGAGAAAUUUUUGUUGAAAAAAGCAAUGUUUUUAUAUGCUUCAGUUCGGGAUGCAAGUUAUAUUGAUGAGGGAAGGUGAACUGGGACUUAUGUAGGAUGUGAUUCUCCUUAUGUUUGGCUCUACAAGAACAUUCUUGUGCCAACUGAGACUAAGUUUGGAGUAUUUCUAUAAUUCUUCAGAGCUGGACUUGACUGCAUAUGUGCUUUGUGUCUUAAAAAGCAACAGUAAAAUAGUUUAGCUGUUUUUGCUAGUAGCUUUCCCAAUACUUUAGAAACACGCAUGAUAUCCUUCUAUUACAUUGCAUGCCUCGCAUGGGAAUCAGAAAAGUCUACGAGCUAAACCAAUUCAGUUUUUCAUUUCUUGGUCUGAUGUUCCAACUCUACUUGGUAUUGCUGUCUAAAAAGUCUUAUGUUUCUUGUGAUUGUAACUCUUGUCUUUGUUCUCAUCUUUUCUUUUUAAUUCUUCAGGGACUAUUUUUCUGGACAGGUAAGAUGAAUUUUUUGUCAUCAACGCUUUUGUAAAUUUGUUUUACGAUUAAUUUGUGCUUAUGGCACGUACACUGGAUGGAUGGAGCUUUCAUUUCUCAUAGCUGCAAUCUUAUUUCAUCAGAAAGAGUCUCUCCCAUGCCUUGUUCUGUAAUGUGAUUUCUUGAGCCUCACUGGAAGCAUCUGCUCACAUGAUCUCAAGGUCAAAGCUACAAGAACCCGUUUUAUUUUUUGUCUAGUCCCUUUAGUGGCCUCCGCCGUGUGAUUAAUAUUGUUAGAAUAUCUUUUUUCUGUCUUGUUUGAUCCUUGUGGAAUUGCUCCAUAUGAAGUUUGGAUGUCAAUUUUUAUAUUUGAUUCUUGAAACAUACAGUAUAAUACAAGCAAUAAAUUUCAGAAGAAAGAAAAAGCAACAACAAUCAAUGAUUAGCAGAG
rnacentral:lncRNA from 1 species